CCUACGGGUGGCUGCAGUGGGGGAUAUUGCACAAUGGGGGGAACCCUGAUGCAGCGACGCCGCGUGGGUGAAGAAGCGCCUCGGCGCGUAAAGCCCUGUCAGCAGGGAAGAAAAUGACGGUACCUGAAGAAGAAGCCACGGCUAACUACGUGCCAGCAGCCGCGGUAAUACGUAGGUGGCAAGCGUUGUCCGGAUUUACUGGGUGUAAAGGGCGUGCAGCCGGAGAGACAAGUCAGAUGUGAAAUCCACGGGCUCAACCCGUGAACUGCAUUUGAAACUGUUUCCCUUGAGUGUCGGAGAGGUAAUCGGAAUUCCUUGUGUAGCGGUGAAAUGCGUAGAUAUAAGGAAGAACACCAGUGGCGAAGGCGGAUUACUGGACGAUAACUGACGGUGAGGCGCGAAAGCGUGGGGAGCAAACAGGAUUAGAUACCCUAGUAGUC
rnacentral:rRNA from 1 species